UACAGUGAUCAGGUUACGAGG
rnacentral:miRNA from 1 species